rnacentral:rRNA from 1 species
AGAGUUUGAUCCUGGCUCAGAACGAACGCUGGCGGCAUGCCUAACACAUGCAAGUCGAACGAUGCUUUCGGGCAUAGUGGCGCACGGGUGCGUAACGCGUGGGAAUCUGCCCUUGGUUCGGAAUACAGUUGAAACGACUGCUAAUACCGGAUGAUGUCGAUAAGACCAAAGAUUUAUCGCCUGAGGAUGAGCCCGCGUUGGAUUAGCUAGUUGGUGGGGUAAAGGCCUACCAAGGCGACGAUCCAUAGCUGGUCUGAGAGGAUGAUCAGCCACACUGGGACUGAGACACGGCCCAGACUCCUACGGGAGGCAGCAGUGGGGAAUAUUGGACAAUGGGCGCAAGCCUGAUCCAGCAAUGCCGCGUGAGUGAUGAAGGCCUUAGGGUUGUAAAGCUCUUUACCCGGGAAGAUAAUGACUGUACCGGGAGAAUAAGCCCCGGCUAACUCCGUG